GGUCUCCUACUACUUUCCAAAAUGGCCGCCCUAGUAACCGCCGCUUAGCAACCGGCUCUGCACGUAGGACUAGAGGUUGCAGUCAAUAGAAGGUUCCCCAGGUGGUGACCUCUAUCACUGGCAGAGCUGCUGAGACCUAGCAGCUCCACCAUACCCGGUGGGCAUCAGAGGAUGAUAAAAGACAACGGAGUAGAAAAGUUAAUCUCAUGAAAGCAGCGAUGAGGUCUGUCGUCAUCAGGACAGGUCGAAGACUAGGACGAGCAACAGGAUCACUACGUA